rnacentral:rRNA from 1 species
AUUGAACGCUGGCGGCAUGCCUUACACAUGCAAGUCGAACGGCAGCGGACCUUCGGGUGCCGGCGAGUGGCGAACGGGUGAGUAAUAUAUCGGAACGUACCUUUCAGUGGGGGAUAACGUAGCGAAAGUUACGCUAAUACCGCAUAUUCUGUGAGCAGGAAAGCAGGGGAUCGCAAGACCUUGCGCUGAUUGAGCGGCCGAUAUCAGAUUAGCUAGUUGGUGAGGUAAAGGCUCACCAAGGCGACGAUCUGUAGCGGGUCUGAGAGGAUGAUCCGCCACACUGGAACUGAGACACGGUCCAGACUCCUACGGGAGGCAGCAGUGGGGAAUUUUGGACAAUGGGCGCAAGCCUGAUCCAGCCAUGCCGCGUGAGUGAAGAAGGCCUGGUUGUAAGCUCUUCGGUCCGGAGAAUACGCACAGGUUAAUACCCUGUGUGGAUGACGGUACCGGAAGUAAGAAG